rnacentral:rRNA from 1 species
AACAGGAUUAGAUACCCUGGUAGUCCACGCCGUAAACGAUGUCGACUUGGAGGUUGUGCCCUUGAGGCGUGGCUUCCGGAGCUAACGCGUUAAGUCGACCGCCUGGGGAGUACGGCCGCAAGGUUAAAACUCAAAUGAAUUGACGGGGGCCCGCACAAGCGGUGGAGCAUGUGGUUUAAUUCGAUGCAACGCGAAGAACCUUACCUGGUCUUGACAUCCACAGAACUUUCCAGAGAUGGAUUGGUGCCUUCGGGAACUGUGAGACAGGUGCUGCAUGGCUGUCGUCAGCUCGUGUUGUGAAAUGUUGGGUUAAGUCCCGCAACGAGCGCAACCCUUAUCCUUUGUUGCCAGCGGUCCGGCCGGGAACUCAAAGGAGACUGCCAGUGAUAAACUGGAGGAAGGUGGGGAUGACGUCAAGUCAUCAUGGCCCUUACGACCAGGGCUACACACGUGCUACAAUGGCGCAUACAAAGAGAAGCGACCUCGCGAGAGCAAGCGGACCUCAUAAAGUGCGUCGUAGUCCGGAUUGGAGUCUGCAACUCGACUCCAUGAAGUCGGAAUCGCUAGUAAUCGUGGAUCAGAAUGCCACGGUGAAUACGUUCCCGGGCCUUGUACACACCGCCCGUCACACUAUGGGAGUGGGUUGCAAAAGAAGUAGGUAGCUUAACCUUCGGGAGGGCGCUUACCACUUUGUGAUUCAUGACUGGGGUGAAGUCGUAACAAGGUAACC